rnacentral:rRNA from 1 species
CACGUAGGGCGCAAGCGUUUGUCCGGAAUUAUUGGGCGUAAAGAGCUCGUAGGCGGUCUGUUGCGUCUGCUGUGAAAACUCGGGGCUUAACCCCGAGCCUGCAGUGGAUACGGGCAGACUAGAGGUAGGUAGGGGAGAAUGGAAUUCCCGGUGUAGCGGUGAAAUGCGCAGAUAUCGGGAGGAACACCGGUGGCGAAGGCGGUUCUCUGGGCCUUACCUGACGCUGAGGAGCGAAAGCGUGGGGAGCGAACAGG